UGGGGAAUAUUGGACAAUGGGGGCAACCCUGAUCCAGCAAUGCCGCGUGAGUGAUGGAGGCCUUAGGGUUGUAAAGCUCUUUUACCCGCGACGAUGAUGACGGUAGCGGGAGAAUAAGCCCCGGCUAACUUCGUGCCAGCAGCCGCGGUAAUACGAAGGGGGCUAGCGUUGUUCGGAGUUACUGGGCGUAAAGGGCGCGUAGGCGGCGCACCAAGUCAGGCGUGAAAGCCCUGGGCUCAACCCGGGAAUUGCGCUUGAGACUGGUGUGCUUGAGUACGGGAGAGGAUAGUGGAAUUCCCAGUGUAGAGGUGAAAUUCGUAGAUAUUGGGAAGAACACCGGUGGCGAAGGCGGCUAUCUGGACCGUAACUGACGCUGAGGCGCGAAAGCGUGGGGAGCAAAC
rnacentral:rRNA from 1 species